CCUACGGGUGGCAGCAGUGAGGAAUAUUGGUCAAUGGACGAGAGUCUGAACCAGCCAAGUAGCGUGAAGGAUGACUGCCCUAUGGUUUGUAAACUUCUUUUAUAUGGGAAUAAAAUGUUCCACGUGUGGAAUUUUGUAUGUACCAUAUGAAUAAGGAUCGGCUAACUCCGUGCCAGCAGCCGCGGUAAUACGGAGGAUCCGAGCGUUAUCCGGAUUUAGUGGGUUUAAAGGGAGCGUAGGUGGAUUGUUAAGUCAGUUGUGAAAGUUUGCGGCUCAACCGUAAAAUUGCAGUUGAAACUGGCAGUCUAGAGUACAGUAGAGGUGGGUGGAAUUCGUGGUGUAGCGGUGAAAUGCUUAGAUAUCACGAAGAACUCCGAUUGCGAAGGCAGUUCACUGGACUGCAACUGACACUGAGGCACGAAAGUGUGGGGAUCAAACAGGAUUAGAUACCCGAGUAGUC
rnacentral:rRNA from 1 species